CCUACGGGUGGCAGCAGUGGGGAAUUGUUCACAAUGGGCGCAAGCCUGAUGACGCAACGCCGCGUGGGGGAUGAAGGUCUUCGGAUUGUAAACCCCUGUCGAACGGGACGAAAGACCCGGAAGCUAAUCAUUUCGGGAGUGACGGUACCGUUAAAGGAAGCCACGGCUAACUCUGUGCCAGCAGCCGCGGUAAUACAGAGGUGGCAAGCGUUGUUCGGAAUUACUGGGCGUAAAGGGCGCGUAGGCGGCCAUCUAAGUCAGACGUGAAAUCCCCCGGCUUAACCUGGGAACUGCGUCUGAUACUGGAUGGCUCGAGUUUGGGAGAGGGAUGCAGAAUUCCAGGUGUAGCGGUGAAAUGCGUAGAUAUCUGGAGGAAUACCGGUGGCGAAGGCGGCAUCCUGGACCAACACUGACGCUGAGGCGCGAAAGCUAGGGGAGCAAACGGGAUUAGAUACCCUUGUAGUC
rnacentral:rRNA from 1 species